rnacentral:rRNA from 1 species
UACGUAGGUGGCAAGCGUUAUCCGGAUUUAUUGGGCGUAAAGGGAACGCAGGCGGUCUUUUAAGUCUGAUGUGAAAGCCUUCGGCUUAACCGGAGUAGUGCAUUGGAAACCGGGAGACUUGAGUGCAGAAGAGGAGAGUGGAACUCCUAGUGUAGCGGUGAAAUGCGUAGAUAUUAGGAGGAACACCAGUGGCGAAGGCGGUCUGCUGGACGGCAACUGACGCUGAGGCGCGAAAGCGUGGGGAGCAAACAGG